AAAAACUUACUCCACUAAAGUGGACAUUGAGGAUGAUCAUUGAUGAUAGGUUCAAGCUGAAUUUUUUAAGCUUGGUACUGAGGAUAUUGAAGAGAAAAUAGAAUGUGACAAUGAACAGUGUCCAGCUGUUUCUCAACACACCUCAGGGGUGGAAGAGCAAUCCAGUCAGAAUACCGAGUUUUGUCUGAGUCAGUCAUCCUAAGGAACUGUAUGUGACUACUGGAGACGACCCACAUACUAUCGAGAAAAGCUAAACAGGAGUAUGAAACUGUCUAAUGGUAAA